AAAAGAUUAAGAAGUAAACGGGGUGAAAAAAAAAUCCUUCUAAUUUAUAGCGAGCAGAACAACGUUUAAAAAAUAAUACAACCCCAAAGAAAACCCCAAAUCCGUACAAAGAGGGGGGGUCAGGCAAGGUGACGCGGGAGAGAAAGCGGCGAGCGCGCCCCGCGCUGCCGGGGGUGCUGGGAGCGGGCUCUGCGCGUUUGGGGUGCUGUCACCACACAUGUCCGUCUGUCCGGCUGUGUGUCCGUGUGCGCGCCCCGAGCCGCACACAGCGGCUGCGGGGCUGGAGGGCUCCGUCCUGUGUGUGGAGCCUGAGCUAUGGAAAUGUGAGACCUCGAAAUAAAACAUGAGAAGAUGAAGGGGUUGGACAAAUUCAGCUGGAGGAGAGAGACUGAGCUGCUGUCUAAAAAGCAGCCAGCGGAGGCUAAUGAGACCUUUGGGGAAGGAAAACCUGCGAGUGGAAUCCAUUACAUCUGCAGCGGGGGACGACCUUCUUGUCCAGAAAAACAAACGUUGCGAAGAAUAGGGACGGACAGUGAUCUCCAAGGAAGAAACGGAAGGCGCUGGGAUGGUUUGGGAUGCCCGGAGCUGAGCCCCAGCCGCUGCGGCCCCAACCCAGAGCCCUGCAGCGGGUGGGGAGCAGCGCCGCUCCCACCGCCAAGCUCAGGCAGCAGAGAUGUGGUCUGAAAAAGGCUCUGGGGCAAGGAAAAAAUAAAUAUUGGAGAAGGAUGGAAAGUCGCCCUUAAGAUGACUAAACAGUUUGUGAUCAAGGGAAGAGAGCGGCUGGUGAAGCCGCUUUCAAAAUUAGGAUUAUCUUUAAACCUGGGAAUUAGGAGUGGCUGAACGUGGCUUCGCCUGCGGGGCAGGAGUUUGUGGGAAGCGAGGAAUAAAGUUUUAACCGCAGUACCUGGCCAACGGAAAUAAUCACGGGAAUGGUUAAAAAGACGCUGGGAAGUAUCAAACGGAAAAACAAACAAACAAAUAAAUAAACAAAAACAAAUCGCGAAACUUCCCGGAAAGCUCG